rnacentral:rRNA from 1 species
UGUUUCGGCUAGGGGGCCAUCCCGGCUUACCAACCCGAUGCAAACUGCGAAUACCGGAGAAUGUUAUCACGGGAGACACACGGCGGGUGCUAACGUCCGUCGUGAAGAGGGAAACAACCCAGACCGCCAGCUAAGGUCCCAAAGUCAUGGUUAAGUGGGAAACGAUGUGGGAAGGCCCAGACAGCCAGGAUGUUGGCUUAGAAGCAGCCAUCAUUUAAAGAAAGCGUAAUAGCUCACUGGUCGAGUCGGCCUGCGCGGAAGAUGUAACGGGGCUAAACCAUGCACCGAAGCUGCGGCAGCGACACUGUGUGUUGUUGGGUAGGGGAGCGUUCUGUAAGCCUGCGAAGGUGUCCCGUGAGGGAUGCUGGAGGUAUCAGAAGUGCGAAUGC